UUUCCCCCUUCUUCUCAACAACUCAUUUCUCCUCAUCCCUUGUUGUGGCCCCUAGGGUUUCUCGUCCUGGCUUAUGGUUCGUCGGUUUCUGGAAGGUGGGUUCUGCGGUUAUGAUCGAGAUGCAAACUGGGUCUCUCGUUUUUUCCUUUUGGUUUCCUGAUUUUGUUCAGUUGCUGUGAAAUUCAGUGUCCAAUUCGCCAGUUCCCGGUAUGAGUUCCUCCGCACUCUUCUUCUUCGCCGGCGUUCUUGUUGUCCUCGCUAUACUGCUCAUCCUCCUCACCGUCUUCUGGAAGUUGAUCAAGUUGAAUGACACCGCCACCAAAUUGGCCAAAAAGGACUGCGAACUCCCUCAAGG
rnacentral:lncRNA from 1 species